GAUGAACGCUGGCGGCGUGCCUAAUACAUGCAAGUCGAGCGAACAGAUGAGGAGCUUGCUCCUCUGACGUUAGCGGCGGACGGGUGAGUAACACGUGGAUAACCUACCUAUAAGACUGGUAUAACUUCGUGAAACCGGCGCUAAUACCGGAUAAUAUAUUGAACCGCAUGGUUCAAUAGUGAAAGACGGUUUUGCUGUCUCUUAUAGAUGGUUCCGCGCCUCAUUAGCUAGUUGGUAAGGUAACGGCUUACCAAGGCAACGAUUCGUAGCCGACCUGAGAGGGGGAACGGCAAAAGUGGAAGUGAGAAACGGACAAGAGACGAACGGGAGGCAGAAGUAGGGAAGAUACAGAAAGGGGCGAAAGAAUGAAGGAGAAAAGGAGCGGGAGUGAGGAAGGUCUGCGGAUCGUAAAACGCUGUUAUAAGGGAAGAACAAAUGUGUAAGUAACGAUGAACGUAUGGACGGAACCUAAGCAGAAAGCCACGGCUAACUAGGU
rnacentral:rRNA from 1 species